UUGACCUCGAAUCAGGUAGGAUUACCCGCUGAACUUAAGCAUAUCAAUAAG
rnacentral:rRNA from 8 species